rnacentral:rRNA from 1 species
GAUGAACGCUAGCUACAGGCUUAACACAUGCAAGUCGAGGGGCAUCAGGAAGAAAGCUUGCUUUCUUUGCUGGCGACCGGCGCACGGGUGAGUAACACGUAUCCAACCUGCCCUUUACUCGGGGAUAGCCUUUCGAAAGAAAGAUUAAUACCCGAUAGCAUAAUGAUUCCGCAUGGUUUCAUUGUUAAAGGAUUCCGGUAAAGGAUGGGGAUGCGUUCCAUUAGGUUGUUGGUGAGGUAACGGCUCACCAAGCCUUCGAUGGAUAGGGGUUCUGAGAGGAAGGUCCCCCACAUUGGAACUGAGACACGGUCCAAACUCCUACGGGAGGCAGCAGUGAGGAAUAUUGGUCAAUGGACGAGAGUCUGAACCAGCCAAGUAGCGUGAAGGAUGACUGCCCUAUGGGUUGUAAACUUCUUUUAUACGGGAAUAAAGUUAGCCACGUGUGGCUUUUUGUAUGUACCGUAUGAAUAAGGAUCGGCUAACUCCGUG